GCUCCUCCCUCUCCCUUCCACUCUGCGCUGGGGAGGGGGCCCGGGGAAGACGUGGCUUCAGCCUUACCCCGGAGGAUGAGAGGGCUUGGGCUGGGUGGAGGCGGAUGAGGGGAAGCACGGAGAUGCUCCUUCCCUCUCACUGGGGAUGCAGCAGCAGGUGGCGGCGACGUGGCCCGUGGAGGCCUGGCGCCCACAGGCGCGGAGAUGGACCCGGUCCAGGCAGGAGCGCGGUGAAGGUGGCUGUGGGCGCGUGGAUGUGUAAGACACGCUCCCACCCACGUGGUGUACAGGGGGACCUGAGGACGCGGGUGAAGGAGAAGCCACCUCCUUCCUCUGGUCUCCCUCCCUCCUUCCUGGACAUUUUGCUCCUGCGUUGUCUCUUCAUCAUGGAAGCAAAGGUCGCUAGACUCCCUGCUCUGAGCUCCUCCUACCUUCUCCAGAACUGGAGGAUGGCCAGGUGGUUGGGGGGCAGCUGUGUCCUCGUGAUCAAACCAACCCCCCCCCACGCCCCCGUGGCAGCGCCUCCCCGCGCCACCCCUUUGUCCGGUUGCCCACCUUGGGGACCCUAUCACCUGCCUUGGGCGCCUUCCUGUUUCUGGAUUUGGGACUUCUCAGACCGGGGUUCAAAUCUGGGCCCCUCCAGUUUCCUGCAGUAUGUUCCCUAAGGUACCCAUCUCCAGUAAAAUGGAGUGUUUGUCCCCUAAAGCUUGUGGCUAAGUCCUAGUACAUAAGGUGCUCUAUCAGUGUGAAUGUGUACUUGCUAUAAGGUGUGCAGCCUGUCUCCUGCUCCUCUGAGACCUCACCAAUAGACACCCCAAAGCCCAGGAAAGUGGGGAAAGGGUCGUGAAAUGCCCUCGUAGCAGACAGGGAACAUUGCUUUUCAAGAUGAGGGAGGUGACUUGCUGGAGUCCACUGGGUGCCUCAAAGCAGAGCUGGGCCCAGAACCCAGGCACCCUGGUUCCCAGGCUCCCACACCCCACUGUGGCCCCCUCUUCCACAGCUGGGUGCAGGGAGUCUCGCUUCCCCACUCCUCAGAGGCCCUCCCAUUCUUGCUACAGGAUAGGAACCACCUGCUGCCUCACCCACAGGACCCAGCCCACGCCCCUUCCUGAUGCUUCUGCCCUCUUCCUCUCUGGAAUGGUGUAGGGAGGAGAGGCAGAAGACGAAGACGGACCCUGCAGAGGGGGGAUCCUGCCUGCCCAGGAAUGCCCCUCACUCUCCACAGGGCGGAUCCCCUCCCUAAGGGGCUUUGAGCAACAUCAGGGCCUGAGCUGGUUUUGUUGGCCCAGUUUCAGGAUACUUCCUCUUAUUAUGAUGAUGAUGAUGAUGGAGAUGUCAAUAACUCUCGUAGAAAAACCCUGCAAACCCACCCAAACAGAAACCUGUAUCUUAAGACACAGUGGCCCAAAGGCAGCACUUUACUGGGAAAAAUACUUCGCGUCCCAGCCCAUAUGCAACAGUUGAGAUGCAGCAUUUCCCAGUGAACUUGGGGGAAACACCUCUAAAUUUCCCCACCAGUUUUUAUGAUUGGCAGCAGGUCCACAGAAACUCCAGAAGACCUGUUUCCUGGGGCUGUAUUGGCAGCCGACCCUUUUUCAGCCCAGACUUCCCAAAACGCAGACAUCUAACUUGGUCAGGGAACCCAGUGCCUACAGCAAAGGAAAGCUCCGAGCUUGUAAUCCAUGCAUAACCAGUAUCUGGGCCCCACUAUUCCAGGAAACAGGGCAGCCUCUGGGGAAACAUGAGUUGAUGGCACAGGCAUCUCAUUCAUGGUUCACAAAGAUUUGAAGAAUGUUGGCCUGUGCUGUAGCCAAAGCCAGCAUGUUCACCUUUACAGUGUGUGUAUGGGGCCGGACAGGAAGCCGCAGGGUGCCCAUUUCCAGUGGAGGAGCAUCUCCCCAAGUUUCUAAGGAGCAUUCACUCAAGUCAGGCACCGUGCUGGGCACAGGGAUGCAAAGAUGGAUUUGAUAAGCCCUCUGUCCUCUGGGUCCUCCUGCAUUUAUAGAGGGCCUAGCCCAGGCCAGGUACUCCAGUUACUAAGGGCUUCAUCUGCGGGAGCUUGUUUUAACGUCACCAAAGCCUGUAAGGUAGGUCCAUUGUCCCUUCUUAGAGGGAAGCUCAGAAAGGUUAUGUAACUUCCCUAAAGUCACCCAUCUGGCAAAUGAUGGACUGGAGAGUUACAGCCUGGUCUCCCUGCCUCCAAAUCCAUGUUGCUAGCCAUGACCCUAUUUCAUCUGCCAGGUUAAGAGAAAAUUGAGACAAUAAUAAUACGGAAAAUACCUAAUGACCUUUAGGAUUACAAAUGAGAUGUAUGCAUUCCCAGGAGGGUUCCUGGAACAGAGUGAGCUCUCAAUGAUAGAGCCAUUAUUAUCAUCACUAGAUACUCAAUUUUGUUUUGAACUGAUAAGCUCUACCUUAUAGGCAUUACCAAGUGCUACUCUUGGAAGCAUAAGGAAAGCGACUACAUCUGUCUGCAGGGACUGCAGCUGGCUACACAGAGGAGAUGGCAUUUGAGUUGGGUCUCCAGGCAUGAGUAGGUGUUGGGUAGUUGGAGAAGCAGAAGCAAGAGCAGGCAGAUCAGGAGGAAAACGUAGGGGAAAUGCACAGAGCUGUGAACAAGCACUCAUUUGGGUAGAAGCUGAGAGAGACUCGUGAUAGGAAAGCAAGAUGGUGGACAGGAGCUGGGGGAGGCCACUGCCUCUGUUAGUGCUGGUCCCCUCCCUGAGGCAUCUGCUGAGCCAGGCCUAUGUGGAGGGGAGUGGGGAGACACAGGGGGACAGAGAGCUGGAAGAGAGGACCCAGCCUCCAGGCAGCCACCCAGGCAGAGACUUUCUGGCCAUGCUUGACUGGAGAACCUUCCAUCACUUGCAGGGGCAAGGGGUCAUGAUCCCUGCCAACCUCAGCACUUUGCAGGGCCACUGAGAGGGACAUAGGCUAUCCUCCGGGUCACUGUGUGGGAGAGAGGUCUUGGCAACCUGUAAUGGGUGCAUUACGAGGCAUGGCUAGUUCGCUCAUUCUCAGGUUUUCUCCACAACUCAUUCAUUCAUUUAAUAAAUGUUUGUUGAGCCCUGUGAUGUACCCAGCACUCUGAUGGCUGUCAGCAGUCGGCAGUGAACACACCACAGCCCCUGCCCUCCCAUCACUCACCAUCUAGUAGAGGAGAGAGACCAGUCAGCAGGAUGGUGUGGCAAGGGCUGGCAUCAGUGCUGUGGUGUCUGCAGGCCGUGUGGUUGCACAAAAGAGAGGCCCCUCUCCAGGUUUAGGCGGUUGAUGAAGACUUCCUGGUGGAUAAGCUUUCUAAGAUGAGUGGGAGGCAGCCAGAUGGAAGGGAAUUGGGGGCGGGGGGGAGGAGGGGAGAAGGUUCCAUGUGCAGGGGUAGUGCUUGCAAGAACCCAGAGGUGAAUUGUGGGGAACUUCAAGUCCUAAAAAAUAUAACCCAUUGAGAAAAGCCCAACCUAGCUGUAACUUUCAGAGAACAACUCUGUGUAGUUCGGCCAGAUAAGUGUAUGAUGUCGGGGUGGGGAGGGGGGUCCUGGAGGGAGGAAGGAAAGAAUUCUUUAGAAAUAGUUCAGGAAAAGUUUGAAGUAUUUUUAAAAAAUACUUCAAAUCAGCUUGAAGUAUCCUUUUAAAAGUCAGUAUCUCUAUUUGCUAAUGACUUCCCCCGUUUUUUUUACAGUGUUUUGCAGUUUUCCAAGCCUUUGGCACCCCAUAUUUCACUGGCCCUUGUCACAUACAUGAGAGUUUGGUCGGGAUGAUUCCUCAGCCUCAAAGCUGAUAGCUGGCAGACCCCACGACUUGAACCUGGGGCUUCCUCCUGGGUCGUCUCGUCCUGAUAAGUCUGGAUAAUUUUGUAUGGCUCUUUAUGGUUUGCCAAGGACGUCCGCCUCCCUGAGUCCACUUCUCCUGACUGUGUCAGCAUCUCCAGCUUCAAAGAAAGAAAAUGCCAGGCCAGGAAGGGGCAACACCUACCCGGCAGAGCCUCUGGUCUGCAGGGGGCCUGGAGGGUGGCUCAUGGGGCUCAUCCAGACAGGCUGGGCCUCCGGGGUGAGCAGCAGUUUGAACCAGGUGUGUUCGUGCUAACAGGACGGCCCAGGUAAGGAGAGGGCUUGUGUGGGGGUGACAUAAAGGACAGGUAAAAGGAAGAGGACUCAAACACUGCUUUCUGUGGGAAAGGGGGCUUUAGGGUCUGAAAUCUUCCUUUGUGACACCCAUAUUAAAGUGGUUAUCAGAAUAAAAUGACCCAACCAACCAAGCUCAGGAAGCAGGAAGAGACUUGGACUCAAGACAACUGAGGAGAGAUGAGAAAAGAAAACAGGUCCCUGAAAGAGGGGGUCAUCAACUUCAAACAUCUGGAGGGUUUUCUGACAGGAGAGGGUUUGACAAGCUUUGAUGUGUGGCCCCAAAGGGUAAACUAGGCCACCAGGGAGACGGUGGUUUUCUUCAGGAUUUGGAAGAGUGACACUUAGAGCAAUGAUUGGUGAAUUACAAUUCAUGGGCCAAAUCUGGCCCGCUGACUACUUCUGUAAAUAAAGUUUUGUUGGACCACAGGC
rnacentral:lncRNA from 1 species